rnacentral:rRNA from 1 species
ACGAACGCUGGCGGCGUGCUUAACACAUGCACGUCGUACGGUAAGGCCCUUUCGGGGGUACACGAGUGGCGAACGGGUGAGUAACACGUGAGUAACCUGCCCACAACUUUGGGAUAACGCUAGGAAACUGGUGCUAAUACUGGAUAUGUGCUCCUGCUGCAUGGUGGGGGUUGGAAAGCUCCGGCGGUUGUGGAUGGACUCGCGGCCUAUCAGCUUGUUGGUGGGGUAGUGGCCUACCAAGGCGGCGACGGGUAGCCGGCCUGAGAGGGUGACCGGCCACAUUGGGACUGAGAUACGGCCCAGACUCCGACGGGAGGCAGCAGUGGGGAAUAUUGCACAAUGGGCGCAAGCCUGAUGCAGCAACGCCGCGUGCGGGAUGACGGCCUUCGGGUUGUAAACCGCUUUCAGCAGGGACGAAGCUUUUUGUGACGGUACCUGCAGAAGAAGCACCGGCUAACUACGUG